rnacentral:rRNA from 1 species
GAUCCUGGUUCAGGAUGAACGCUAGCUACAGGCUUAACACAUGCAAGUCGAGGGGCAGCGGGAAGUCAGCUUGCUGACUUUGCCGGCGACCGGCGCACGGGUGAGUAACACGUAUCCAACCUCCCGCAUACUCGGGAAUAGCCUUUCGAAAGAAAGAUUAAUGCCCGAUGGUUUCAAGGGAUUGCAUGGUAUCUUGAAUAAAGAUUCAUCGGUAUGCGAUGGGGAUGCGUUCCAUUAGG